UGGGGAGACCCAGUGCCGCAGUUAAACAAUAAGCACUCCGCCUGGGGAGUACGGUCGCAAGACUGAAACUCAAAGGAAUUGACGGGGGCCCGCACAAGCAGCGGAGCAUGUGGUUUAAUUCGAAGCAACGCGAAGAACCUUACCAGGUCUUGACAUCCUUUGACAAUCCUAGAGAUAGGACUUUCCCUUCGGGGACAAAGAGACAGGUGGUGCAUGGUUGUCGUCAGCUCGUGUCGUGAGAUGUUGGGUUAAGUCCCGCAACGAGCGCAACCCCUAUAUUUAGUUGCCAUCAGGUUAAGCUGGGCACUCUAGAUAGACUGCCGUAGACAAUACGGAGGAAGGUGGGGAUGACGUCAAAUCAUCAUGCCCCUUAUGACCUGGGCUACACACGUGCUACAAUGGCCUGAACAACGGGUUGCAAUAUGGCGACAUGGAGCUAAUCCCACAAAUCAGGUCUCAGUUCGGAUUGCAGGCUGCAACUCGCCUGCAUGAAGUCGGAGUUGCUAGUAAUCGCGGAUCAGAAUGUCGCGGUGAAUGCGUUCCCGGGCCUUGUACACACCGCCCGUCACACCACGAAAGUUGGCAACACCCGAAGUCAGUGAGCUAACCGGUUUACCGGAGGCAGCUGCCGAAGGUGGGGUCAAUGAUUGGGGUGAAGUCGUAACAAGGUAGCCG
rnacentral:rRNA from 1 species